ensembl:lncRNA
CCAAGCAGUAUGAUUAUUUCAUUUAUUCACUAUUCCAUUUAUUAUUAAUGUCUCAUUUCAGUUUAACUUUGGCUUAAGUUUUGUAUUUAUUGCAGUUUAUAUGAAAAGGUUCAUGUAGCGUGGUACAGCCUACUGCAGAAAUUAAUAAGCAAAUGUAAAACGAAAUAUAGCCUGCUGUCACUUUAAGAGCCGCACGGAUCCAAAUCACUGUUACACGCGUAUUUUCAUUCUCAACUCUUUGCAUUCAUUUAUUAUAUGACCGACGAAGUUUGUGUCUACAGCAGCUACUGUAUAUACACCCCAAAGGCUCUUUUAAGAGCCACAUCACGAGAGCGUCUUUGGCUUUGCUAUUUUCAGAGCCACAUCGCCCAGCAUCCUUGGCUUUCACCUACAUACACCCCAAGGCUCUUUUCAGAGCCACUCGCCCAGCAUCACACAGCAUUGUGAACUACCUACGGUCAAUCGGGGGUUCGAAUCCAGGAGCAGCUGUUUAAGGUGGCAACCAAUGAGGUCCUGGGUGCAUACAACCUUCGGGGGAAGAAAUCAAAACUAGCCUUCCAAGACCUCAGGAUUUGUUCCAUUAUUAUAGGAGCAACACAGAAGACUUUUAAAUCACUGAAGUCAGUUGAGGUGGAGGAUCUGAUUUCACUGGCCCUGAAAAUGAUCACUAUUGCACACCAAUCUUUGUAAUCCCCUGCAAUAAAAAAAAUGACCACAUGGUGCGUUGUUCAGUUCAGAAGUGGGGCAACUGAAAUUGUGCCAAACUCAUGGGUUGAAGGAGAUAAAGUCUUCUGGCCCCCAUACCCUCCUAAGGACUCUAUUAGGCUGAAUGCAGCCAUCCUGAAUAGAGAGCAGCCUGGUCAGGGAUGGCACACAUACCAGCCUAUCCGUCUCCUCAUAACUCGUGAUAGUCAUGAUGAGGCAGCGAGGAGCCUGGACAGAUAUCUCAAUAAAGAUUGUGACAUCACUGACAUCCAGUCUGAGGAGGAGAGCCACCAUGCCCUGAAAAGAAAAAGAAGACCGAAUCCAGUUUAUCACUCAGACGAGGAGCCCCAGAAUGAGUGCAGAUUCACCCAAGCCCCAAAAGUGUUAUUUCCAGCGACCCAACUAGCCAGUCAGAACAGCCAACCAUCACCACCUCCACGAAUCUAUCAGACCCUCCAACGCCCCAAUUCCCCCAUGUUGUCUUACCCCAAUGUCCCAGCAUCGUUCCCUGGAGAUGAAUUGGUGUUCUCUCCAAUUAAUUUACUCCAGAGGCCAUCUCCUGAAGUUGUUUCAGAUUCUUCAGAAACUGCCAGGUUGGCAUUAAAAGAUGUGGCUAUGCAAAAACUUCUUACUGCAGUGACAGAGCUGUCCAAGGAGGUGAAGGACCUGCGGGAGGAGUUUAGGCAAUUCCGCCAGUCCUGCAGGUGUGGACAAUCGGAGUCUGUGGUACAGCCACUGUCGGAGCCCUUGGAGCUGCCCUUCCACACCAUGGAGGCCCUGGCCCAUGCAGAAGAGACACUGUUAAAUGGCACAAACCGACAGGCAAUGACUGCUCGUCUCGCCACCAUUGGAGGGACUACCCUAGAGGUGAGGGUCCGCCGUAUGAUGGCACACCUGUUGUCGAAUGAACUGGCUCCAAGACUGAACUGGGCUGGAAAAAAGAACAAGGAGCCUACUAAACAAAAACGUCCCUUUAAAGAGUUGGCACUCUGCCGAUCUUUGUUUGGUGCAGAGCGGACAACGCAUCACGACACCGUCACAGCAGAUGACCUACUAACCCGGAACAACACUUCUUCUUCUUCUUCUUCUUCUUCUUCCUUGAUGUUUAACGGCGGUUGGCAUCCAACUUCAAUGGUGCAUUACCGCCACCUACUGUACUGGAGUGUGAACCGGAGCUAGACAAAGAGAAACUAAAACUAAAAUGGAGACUUCCAACUCUCUUCCCCCACCCUUUAAUUAAUAAUUAAAAAAAAUAAAAAUAAAUUUAGAUUUCCAAAAUUGUCUUCUAUAUUCUAUUUGCUAUCCCUGUGUCCUUAAGGAAGGUAAAUAAAUGAGUACUGAUAUCAUUUGAAGUUAAUCCCAGAAGUUCCUUAAGUGAAUUCCCUUGCACCCCCAAAUUCCUUAUGCUUUCUUUCAUCUUUAUCCUUUCUCGAUCAUAUUUUUGGCAUUCAAGUACCACAUGUUCAACAUAUUCAAUACUGUCACAAAAUUCACAUCUUCCUGUUACAUGCUUACCUAAAAUAUGUAAGCACUUAUUUAACCCACAAUGUCCAAUCCUUAACCUAGUGAAAAUUAUUUCUUCCCUUCGACUCCUUCCAGUGAUCCUCUCUGUCCCAACCUUCUGUUGUAUUCUGUAUAAAUGUCUCCCUUUCUCCUCUCUAUCCCAACCACUCUGCCACUUUUUCAUAAUUUCCAUCCAGAUUUUUGUUUUAGCUUCUGUUUUACUCAUUAAGAUUGAUAUUUCCACAUCUUCUCUUUUACUGGCUUGUUU